AGGAGGAGCUUGGUGCUCCAGUGGGACUCCAGGACAGGGUCACUGAGGCUGGAGUGACGAGCUGGGAUCAGAGCAGCACCACACAUUUGGUGUAUUCACUGCACAAAGACAAACCUCUCAGGGAGAGAUGGAGAGCAGGUGAAAGUCACUGCAAGAACAAAGCCACGCAGUUGAGCAGGAGAUCUGGUUUGCACAAUCGUACCUAUGGAGAAGCACUCAGAGGUUGGGAGAUGGUUAUCACCAACCACGUGUCAACAUCUUCAAAACUCAUCUUGAUGAACUCCAUAAUGAAGGAGGUUAUCAUCCAGGAGUUAUACCCAGCUUGUUUUUAAACCUGCAAAGGGAAGAUACUGUGAACAAAGCAGUGAUGGCUCUUAGGUUCCUCCCCAGCCACCAGGAGAGGAGUGGGGCUGUUUUGGAUCACCUGAGCACAGAUAAUGGACAGAGCUCUUCACCUCACAUCUGUCACUGAGGUCUACAUGUGGUUGCUAAGCCUCCCUUAUCACAUGGAAGGGUGGAGACAGGGCAGCAGUUUUCUCUGGAAAAGAGACAGAUGAUCAUGCCAAGUUGUGGAGAAGUACUGGCAAUGGCUUCGCUGGGGAGAGAUUGAGACACCCUUUCGACAGGAGCCAACACCCAUUUUGAGAUGAAAAAUGUCCAUCC
rnacentral:lncRNA from 1 species